UCUCCGUAGGUGAACCUGCGGAGGGAUCAUUACAGAGUUCUCGCCCUCGCGGGUAGAUCUCCCACCCACUGUUAUCGUUACUGUGUUGCUUUGGCGGGCCGCCGGGCCCCGCUCGGCCGCCGGCUCCGGUUGGCGCGCGCCCGCCAGAGGCCCAGCAAACUCUGAAUGUUAGUGUCGUCUGAGUACUAUCUAAUAGUUAAAACUUUCAACAACGGAUCUCUUGGUUCUG
rnacentral:misc_RNA from 1 species